rnacentral:lncRNA from 1 species
AUGUGGUCUCGGCUGGACAGCCGCAUGUUCAGGUUGAACAGCAGGGUUCCUCAAUGUCCACACUCUCCAGACUCACUGUCUCCUGAUGCUGAGGACACAGGACAGGUUACAUACAGAUAUACAGUAAUUAUACAGAUAUUGAUGUGUAAACACUGUCCAGACUCACUGUCUCCUGAUGCUGAGGACACAGGACAGGUUACAUACAGUAUUAUACAGAUAUAUGAUGUGUAACACUGUCCAGACUCACUGUCUCCUGAUGCUGAGGGACACAGGACAGGUUACAUACAGAUAAUACAGAUAAUAUGAUGUGUACACUGUCCAGACUCACUGUCUCCUGAUGCUGAGGACACAGGACAGGUUACAUACAGUAUAUACAGAUAUAUAUGUGGUAGACACUGUCCAGACUCACUGUCCUCUUUGAUGCGGAGGACACAGGACAGGUUACAUACAGUAUUAUACAGAUAUAUGAUGGUGUAACACUGUCCGACUCACUGUCUCCUGAUGCUGAGGACACAGGCAGGUUACAUAACAGUAUUAUACAGAUAUUAUGAAAUGUGUAACACUGUCCAGACUCACGUCUCCUGAUGCUGAGGACACAGGACAGGUUACAUCCAGUAUUAUACAGAUAUAUGAUGUGUAACACUGUCCAGACUCACUGUCUCCUGAUGCUGGAGGAACACAGGUCAGGUUACAUACAGUAUUAUACAGAUAGAUGAUGUGUAACACUGUCCAGACUCACUGUCUCCUGAUGCUGAGCACAGACAGGUUACAUAGAGAUAUACAGUAUUAUACAGAUAUAUGAUGUGUACACGUCCAGACUCACUGUCUCUGAUGCUGAGGAACACAGGACGAGGUACAUACAGUAUUAUAACAGAUAUAUGAUGUGUACACUGUCCAGACUCACUGUCUCCUGAUGGCUGAGGACAACGACAGGUUACAUACAGUAUUAUACAGAUAUAUGAGUGUAACACUGUCCAGACGCACUGUCUCUCUCCUGAUGCUGAGGACACAGGACAGGUUACCAUACAGUAUUAACAGAUAUAUGAUGUGUGUAACACUGUCCCAACUCACUGUCUCCUGAUGCUGAGACACAGGACAGGUUACAUACAGUAUUCUACAGAUAUAUGAUGUGUAACACUGUCCAGGUCCCUGUCUCCUGAUGCGGAGGAACAGGACCAGUAGUAGGUGGAUUAU